rnacentral:rRNA from 1 species
UACGGGAGGCAGCAGUGGGGAAUAUUGCACAAUGGGCGCAAGCCUGAUGCAGCCAUGCCGCGUGUAUGAAGAAGGCCUUCGGGUUGUAAAGUACUUUCAGUCGUGAGGAAGGUGUUAAGGUUAAUAACCUUAGCAAUUGACGUUAGCGACAGAAGAAGCACCGGCUAACUCCGUGCCAGCAGCCGCGGUAAUACGGAGGGUGCGAGCGUUAAUCGGAAUUACUGGGCGUAAAGGGCACGCAGGCGGUUAAUUAAGUUGGAUGUGAAAUCCCCGGGCUUAACCUGGGAAUGGCAUUCAAGACUGGUUAGCUAGAGUCUUGUAGAGGGGGUAGAAUUCCGAUGUGUAGCGGUGAAAUGCGUAGAGAUGUGGAGGAAUACCGGUGGCGAAGGCGGCCCCUGGACAAAGACUGACGCUCAUGUGCGAAAGCGUGGGGAGCAAACGAGGGAUUAGA